rnacentral:rRNA from 1 species
CCCCAGACUCCUACGGGAGGCAGCAGUGGGGGAUAUUGCACAAUGGGGGAAACCCUGAUGCAGCGACGCCGCGUGGGUGAAGAAGCGCCUCGGCGCGUAAAGCCCUGUCAGCAGGGAAGAAAAUGACGGUACCUGAAGAAGAAGCCCCGGCUAACUACGUGCCAGCAGCCGCGGUAAUACGUAGGGGGCAAGCGUUAUCCGGAUUUACUGGGUGUAAAGGGAGCGUAGACGGCAAGGCAAGUCUGGAGUGAAAGCCCGUGGCCCAACCACGGGACUGCUUUGGAAACUGUGUUGCUGGAGUGCAGGAGGGGCAGGCGGAAUUCCUGGUGUAGCGGUGAAAUGCGUAGAUAUCAGGAGGAACACCGGUGGCGAAGGCGGCCUGCUGGACUGCAACUGACGUUGAGGCCCGAAAGCGUGGGGAGCAAACAGGAUUAGAUACCCUGGUA